rnacentral:rRNA from 1 species
CCUACGGGUGGCAGCAGUGGGGAAUAUUGGACAAUGGGCGAAAGCCUGAUCCAGCCAUGCCGCGUGUGUGAAGAAGGCCUUCGGGUUGUAAAGCACUUUCAGUGGGGAAGAAAGCCUUGGGGCUAAUACCCUCGAGGAAGGACAUCACCCACAGAAGAAGCACCGGCUAACUCCGUGCCAGCAGCCGCGGUAAUACGGGAGGGUGCGAGCGUUAAUCGGAAUUACUGGGCGUAAAGCGCGCGUAGGCGGUCUGAUAAGCCGGUUGUGAAAGCCCCGGGCUCAACCUGGGAACGGCAUCCGGAACUGUCAGGCUAGAGUGCAGGAGAGGAAGGUAGAAUUCCCGGUGUAGCGGUGAAAUGCGUAGAGAUCGGGAGGAAUACCAGUGGCGAAGGCGGCCUUCUGGACUGACACUGACGCUGAGGUGCGAAAGCGUGGGUAGCAAACAGGAUUAGAUACCCUGGUAGUC